AUGAACGCUAGCUACAGGCUUAACACAUGCAAGUCGAGGGGCAUCAGGAAGAAAGCUUGCUUUCUUUGCUGGCGACCGGCGCACGGGUGAGUAACACGUAUCCAACCUGCCCUUUACUCGGGGAUAGCCUUUCGAAAGAAAGAUUAAUACCCGAUGGUAUAAUUAUUCCGCAUGGUUUGAUUAUUAAAGGAUUCCGGUAAAGGAUGGGGAUGCGUUCCAUUAGGUUGUUGGUGAGGUAACGGCUCACCAAGCCUUCGAUGGAUAGGGGUUCUGAGAGGAAGGUCCCCCACAUUGGAACUGAGACACGGUCCAAACUCCUACGGGAGGCAGCAGUGAGGAAUAUUGGUCAAUGGGCGAUGGCCUGAACCAGCCAAGUAGCGUGAAGGAUGACUGCCCUAUGGGUUGUAAACUUCUUUUAUAUUAGAAUAAAAUGCAGUAUGUAUACUGUUUUGUAUGUAUAAUAUGAAUAAGGAUCGGCUAACUCCGUGCCAGCAGCCGCGGUAAUACGGAGGAUCCGAGCGUUAUCCGGAUUUAUUGGGUUUAAAGGGAGCGUAGGUGGACUGGUAAGUCAGUUGUGAAAGUUUGCGGCUCAACCGUAAAAUUGCAGUUGAUACUGUCAGUCUUGAGUACAGUAGAGGUGGGCGGAAUUCGUGGUGUAGCGGUGAAAUGCUUAGAUAUCACGAAGAACUCCGAUUGCGAAGGCAGCUCACUGGACUGCAACUGACACUGAUGCUCGAAAGUGUGGGUAUCAAACAGGAUUAGAUACCCUGGUAGUCCACACAGUAAACGAUGAAUACUCGCUGUUUGCGAUAUACAGUAAGCGGCCAAGCGAAAGCAUUAAGUAUUCCACCUGGGGAGUACGCCGGCAACGGUGAAACUCAAAGGAAUUGACGGGGGCCCGCACAAGCGGAGGAACAUGUGGUUUAAUUCGAUGAUACGCGAGGAACCUUACCCGGGCUUAAAUUGCAGUGGAAUGAUGUGGAAACAUGUCAGUGAGCAAUCACCGCUGUGAAGGUGCUGCAUGGUUGUCGUCAGCUCGUGCCGUGAGGUGUCGGCUUAAGUGCCAUAACGAGCGCAACCCUUAUCUUUAGUUACUAACAGGUCAUGCUGAGGACUCUAGAGAGACUGCCGUCGUAAGAUGUGAGGAAGGUGGGGAUGACGUCAAAUCAGCACGGCCCUUACGUCCGGGGCUACACACGUGUUACAAUGGGGGGUACAGAAGGCAGCUACCUGGUGACAGGAUGCUAAUCCCAAAAGCCUCUCUCAGUUCGGAUCGAAGUCUGCAACCCGACUUCGUGAAGCUGGAUUCGCUAGUAAUCGCGCAUCAGCCACGGCGCGGUGAAUACGUUCCCGGGCCUUGUACACACCGCCCGUCAAGCCAUGGGAGCCGGGGGUACCUGAAGUACGUAACCGCAAGGAGCGUCCUAGGGUAAAACUGGUGACUGGGGCU
rnacentral:rRNA from 1 species